ACUCCUACGGGAGGCAGCAGUGGGGAAUUUUGGACAAUGGGCGAAAGCCUGAUCCAGCAAUGCCGCGUGUGUGAAGAAGGCCUUCGGGUUGUAAAGCACUUUUGUCCGGAAAGAAAUCCUUGGCUCUAAUACAGUCGGGGGAUGACGGUACCGGAAGAAUAAGCACCGGCUAACUACGUGCCAGCAGCCGCGGUAAUACGUAGGGUGCGAGCGUUAAUCGGAAUUACUGGGCGUAAAGCGUGCGCAGGCGGUUUGCUAAGACCGAUGUGAAAUCCCCGGGCUCAACCUGGGAACUGCAUUGGUGACUGGCAGGCUAGAGUAUGGCAGAGGGGGGUAGAAUUCCACGUGUAGCAGUGAAAUGCGUAGAGAUGUGGAGGAAUACCGAUGGCGAAGGCAGCCCCCUGGGCCAAUACUGACGCUCAUGCACGAAAGCGUGGGGAGCAAACAGGAUUAGAAACCCUGGUAGUCCCAUG
rnacentral:rRNA from 1 species